CUUCUCGAGGAUGAUCAGAUGAUCUCACAUAUCCUCGCGGGGCUCGACAUGGAGUACCAGCUGUUGGUUUCAGCACUGGAUGCUCGCACCAUCCCGCUCACGCUCGAUGAGCUCUUUGCUCAGAUGAGAAAUUUCGACC
rnacentral:snoRNA from 1 species